AUUGAACGCUGGCGGCAUGCCUUACACAUGCAAGUCGAACGGCAGCACGGGUGCUUGCACCUGGUGGCGAGUGGCGAACGGGUGAGUAAUACAUCGGAACGUACCUUAUCGUGGGGGAUAACGCAGCGAAAGCUGUGCUAAUACCGCAUACGCCCUGAGGGGGAAAGCGGGGGAUCGCAAGACCUCGCGCGAUUAGAGCGGCCGAUGCCUGAUUAGCUUGUUGGUGGGGUAAAAGCCCACCAAGGCGACGAUCAGUAGCUGGUCUGAGAGGACGAUCAGCCACACUGGGACUGAGACACGGCCCAGACUCCUACGGGAGGUGGCAGUGGGGAAUUUUGGACAAUGGGGGCAACCCUGAUCCAGCAAUGCCGCGUGAGUGAAGAAGGCCUUCGGGUUGUAAAGCUCUUUUGUCAGGGAAGAAACACCGGCUCUAACACAGUCUGGGAAUGACGGUACCUGAAGAAUAAGCACCGGCUAACUACGUGCCAGCAGCCGCGGUAA
rnacentral:rRNA from 1 species